UAAAGGUAUAAUUUGUUAUAAACAUACAUUAUAUAUUUCUUUACUUUAGAAACUGUUAUCAUUCAGCUUACCUACUAUCCAUCAUUUCAGCGCUGCUAUUCUCGAAAGUCCCUGGGUGUUAUAUUGCUGUAACACUUAUUAUCUGGUCCUGCAUUUUAUUUGUAUGAGUGUCAUUGUGUGUAUCUGUGUGUCUGUGUAUCUG